UGSKAGAGGAGAKGUUUCCAGACACCCMCCCCGARAUCRRAACCCGSUUCCARAUCCUYACGAGGGCACRCUGURGGAAUUUGCCAAUUGAGGAAACUUCGAUGCAGCMACSCCSSCSUGGARGAWRACSCAUUCSGUUGKUAAACUCCUUUUWUUAGGAAGRWAAUGACCGUACCUWAUGAUAAGCMCCGSYYWACUCCGUGCCAGCAGCCSCGGUAAUAACGGARGGKGCAAGCCKUUACUCCGAAUCCMCYKGGSGUAAAGGGUSCGUAGGCYGSCYUYUAAGUCAGAUKKGAAAUUCAAUGGCUCAACCAWUGAACUGCAUUUGAAACUGGGAGCCUAGAGUUCAGAAGGGGCAGAUGGAAUUAGUGGUGUAGGGGUAAAAUCCGUAGAUAUCACUAGGAAUAUCAAAAGCGAAGGCGAUCUGCUGGGAUGAUACUGACGCUGAGGCACGAAAGCGUGGGGAGCAAACAGGAUUAGAUACCCYGGUAGUCCACGCCCUAAACGAUGAAUGCUAGUCGUCGGGAAGCUCGUCUUUUCGGUGACGCACUUAACAGAUUAAGCAUUCCGCCUGGGGAGUACGGUCGCAAGAUUAAAACUCAAAGGAAUAGACGGGGACCCGCACAAGUGGUGGAGCAUGUGGUUUAAUUCGAAGAYACACGAAGAACCUUACCUGGCCUUGACAUGGUAGGAACCCUUAAGAGAUUAGGGGGUGCUAGCUUGCUAGAACCUACACACAGGUGCUGCACGGCUGUCGUCAGCUCGUGUCGUGAGAUGUUGGGUUAAGUCCCGCAACGAGCGCAACCCUCGUCAUUAGUUGCUAACAGUUCGGCUGAGCACUCUAAUGAGACUGCCUCCGUAAGGAGGAGGAAGGUGAGGACGACGUCAAGUCAUCAUGGCCCUUACGGCCAGGGCUACACACGUGCUACAAUGGGGCGUACAGAGAGCUGCAAUACCGCGAGGUGGAGCCAAUCUCUUAAAGCGUCUCUCAGUUCGGAUUGUUCUCUGCAACUCGAGAACAUGAAGCUGGAAUCACUAGUAAUCGCAGAUCAGCUAUGCUGCGGUGAAUACGUUCCCGGGUCUUGUACUCACCGCCCGUCACACCAUGGGAGUUGAUUUCACCCGAAAUCGGGAUGCCAAACUGGCUACCGYWUACGGUGGAAUUAGCGACUGGGGUGAAGUCGUAACAAGGUAACCGU
rnacentral:rRNA from 1 species